AGCAGCCGCGGUAAUUCCAGCUCCAAUAGCGUAUAUUAAAGUUGUUGCAGUUAAAAAGCUCGUAGUUGAAUUUCGGGGUCAGUAGGUCGGUCGUGCCACUGGUAUGAACUGGUUUCACUGAUUCCUCCCUCUUGUAGAACCGUGAUGCCAUUAAUUUGGUGUUGCGGGGAAACAGGACUGUUACUUUGAAAAAAUUAGAGUGUUUAAAGCAAGCUAACGCUUGAAUACAUUAGCAUGGAAUAAUGAAAUAGGACGUCUGUCUUAUUUUGUUGGUUUCUAGGAUGGACGUAAUGAUUAAUAGGGAUAGUUGGGGGCAUUAGUAUUCAAUUGUCAGAGGUGAAAUUCUUGGAUUUAUUGAAGACUAACUACUGCGAAAGCAUUUGCCAAGGAUGUUUUCAUUAAUCAAGAACGGAAGUUAGGGGAUCGAAGACGAUCAGAUACCGUCGUAGUCUUAACCAUAAACUAUGCCGACUAGGGAUCGGAUGAUGUUAAUUUUUAAUGACUCAUUCGGCGCCUUACG
rnacentral:rRNA from 1 species